GAUGAACGCUGGCGGCGUGCCUAACACAUGCAAGUCGAGCGAAGCACCUUACUUGAUUUCUUCGGGAUGAAAGUAUUGUGACUGAGCGGCGGACGGGUGAGUAACGCGUGGAUAACCUGCCUCAGACAGGGGGAUAACUGCUGGAAACGGCAGCUAAGACCGCAUAGGUAUGGACACUGCAUGGUGACCAUAUUAAAAGUGCCAAGGCACUGGUAGAGGAUGGACUUAUGGCGCAUUAGCUGGUUGGUGAGGUAACGGCUCACCAAGGCGACGAUGCGUAGCCGACCUGAGAGGGUGACCGGCCACACUGGGACUGAGACACGGCCCAG
rnacentral:rRNA from 1 species